rnacentral:rRNA from 1 species
GAUUAACGCUAGCGGCAGGCAUAAUACAUGCAAGUUGAACGGCAGCACAGGUAGCAAUACUGGGUGGCGAGUGGCGCACGGGUGCGUAACACGUAUGCAACCUACCCUAUACAGGCGAAUAACCUUUAGAAAUGAGGGCUAAUACGCCGUAGUAUUACAGAUCGGCAUCUAUUUGUAAUUAAAGAUUUAUCGGUAUAGGAUGGGCAUGCGUCCCAUUAGUUAGUUGGUAAGGUAACGGCUUACCAAGACGAUGAUGGGUAGGGGAUCUGAGAGGACUUACCCCCACACUGGUACUGAGACACGGACCAGACUCCUACGGGAGGCAGCAGUAAGGAAUAUUGGGCAAUGGCCGCGAGGCUGACCCAGCCAUGCCGCGUGCAGGAAGACGGCCUUAUGGGUUGUAAACUGCUUUUAUACGGGAAUAAUAGAGUGUACGCGUACAUUUAUGCAAGUAUCGUAUGAAUAAGCAUCGGCUAACUCCGUG